rnacentral:rRNA from 1 species
GACGAACGCUGGCGGCGUGCCUAAUACAUGCAAGUAGAACGCAGUUGCGAACGGGUGAGUAACGCGUAGGUAACUGCCUCAUAGCGGGGGAUAACCAUUGGAAACGAUAGCUCAUACCGCAUCCUGUGCGCUGGACCUGCGUUGUAUUAGCUAGUUGGUGAGGUAAAGGCUCACCAAGGCGACGAUGCAUAGCCGACCUGAGAGGGUGAUCGGCCACACUGGAACUGAGACACGGCCCAGACUCCUACGGGAGGCAGCAGUGGGGAAUCUUCGGCAAUGGACGAAAGUCUGACCGAGCAACGCCGCGUGAGUGAAGAAGGUUUUCGGAUCGUAAAACUCUGUUGUUAGAGAAGCGGUAUCUAACCAGAAAGCCACGGCUAACUACGUGCCAGCAGCCGCGGUAAUUC